CGAUGGGGCAUCCUGUUGAUACCAAAGCUUAAUGUGCUGAAAGAUGGUCUCGCGUCUGAUUAGCUAGUUGGUGAGGUAACGGCUCACCAAGGCGACGAUCAGUAGCCGGUCUGAGAGGAUGAACGGCCACAUUGGGACUGAGAUACGGCCCAGACUCCUACGGGAGGCAGCAGUGGGGAAUAUUGGGCAAUGGGGGAAACCCUGACCCAGCAACGCCGCGUGAAGGAAGAAGGCCUUCGGGUUGUAAACUUCUUUUACCAGGGACGAAGAACGUGACGGUACCUGGAGAAAAAGCAACGGCUAACUACGUG
rnacentral:rRNA from 1 species